GACGAACGCUGGCGGCGUGCCUAAUACAUGCAAGUCGAACGCAGUGGCGAACGGGUGAGUAACGCGUAGGUAACCGCCCCAUAGCGGGGGAUAACAAUUUGAAACGCUAGCUAAUACCGCACAUUGUGAGAUGGACCUGCGUUGUAUUAGUGAGUUGGUGAGGUCAAGGAUAACCAAGGCGACGAUACAAAGCCGACCUGGGAGGGUGACCGUCCACACUGGGACUGAGACACCGCUCAGAAUCCUACGGGAGGCAGAAGUAGGGAAUCUGCGGCAAUGGACGGAAGUCUGACCGAGCAACGCCGCGUGAGUGAAUAAGGUUUGCGGAUCGUAAAGCUCUGUUUUUAGAGAAGCGGUAACUAACCAGAAAGUGACGGCUAACUACGUGCCACCAGCCGCGGUAAUUC
rnacentral:rRNA from 1 species